rnacentral:rRNA from 1 species
UACGUAGGGGGCAAGCGUUGUCCGGAAUCAUUGGGCGUAAAGAGCGCGUAGGCGGUCCGGUAAGUCCGCUGUGAAAGUCAAGGGCUCAACCCUUGAAUGCCGGUGGAUACUGUCGGGCUAGAGUCCGGAAGAGGCGAGUGGAAUUCCCGGUGUAGCGGUGAAAUGCGCAGAUAUCGGGAGGAACACCAAUGGCGAAGGCAGCUCGCUGGGACGGUACUGACGCUGAGGCGCGAAAGCGUGGGGAGCAAACAGG